CCCAGACUCCUACGGGAGGCAGCAGUGGGGGAUAUUGGACAAUGGGGGAAACCCUGAUCCAGCGACGCCGCGUGAGUGAAGAAGUAUUUCGGUAUGUAAAGCUCUGUCAGCAGGGAAGAAAGAAAUGACGGUACCUGACCAAGAAGCCCCGGCUAACUACGUGCCAGCAGCCGCGGUAAUACGUAGGGGGCAAGCGUUAUCCGGAAUUACUGGGUGUAAAGGGAGCGUAGACGGUGAUGCAAGUCUGGAGUGAAAGGCGGGGGCCCAACCCCCGGACUGCUCUGGAAACUGUGCAGCUAGAGUGCAGGAGAGGUAAGUGGAAUUCCUAGUGUAGCGGUGAAAUGCGUAGAUAUUAGGAGGAACACCAGUGGCGAAGGCGGCCUACUGGACUGUAACUGACGUUGAGGCUCGAAAGCGUGGGGAGCAAACAGGAUUAGAUACCCCAGUA
rnacentral:rRNA from 1 species